rnacentral:tRNA from 1 species
GCGCAGGUGGCCGAGUGGUUAAUGGCAGCAGACUGUAAAUCUGCCGACGCGAGUCUACGGAGGUUCGAACCCUUCCCUGCGCA